UACGGGGGGGGCAAGCGUUGUUCGGAAUUACUGGGCGUAAAGGGCGCGUAGGCGGCCCUCUAAGUCAGACGUGAAAUCCCUCGGCUCAACCGGGGAACUGCGUCUGAUACUGGAGGGCUUGAAUCCGGGAGAGGGAUGUGGAAUUCCAGGUGUAGCGGUGAAAUGCGUAGAUAUCUGGAGGAACACCGGUGGCGAAGGCGGCAUCCUGGACCGGUAUUGACGCUGAGGCGCGAAAGCGUGGGUAGCAAACGGG
rnacentral:rRNA from 1 species